UUGAUAGUCCUGGGGAGUAAAUUUUCUAUCCACAGAAUAGUUACAGCACAGGCAGCAGCAAUGCAAACUUCCCCUCCACUGCCCUCUCAGCAGGAGGGAACCACCUCUGCACGUAGGAGAAUAGUUCAAUCUCCAUAACCCAUUCUGUCCACUUUCUUU
rnacentral:sRNA from 1 species